rnacentral:misc_RNA from 1 species
UCCUACGACUGAUCAAACUUUUAGAUAUAUUAUUUUAUAUAUAUAAAGAUGUUUGGAAAAAACUUUGAGAAAAGUAGAAUUAUUAUUAUAAGGUUGCUUUCUUAAAAAUAAGAUUUAUAUUGUUUGGAUUUUCUUCAAAACUCAUUUUGUAUGAAAUAUAGCAAAUGGGUGGGGACAAAAAUCAAUACUUUU